rnacentral:rRNA from 1 species
UCUCGGCAACGGAUAUCUCGGCUCACGCAUCGAUGAAGAACGUAGCAAAAUGCGAUACUUGGUGUGAAUUGCAGAAUCCCGUGAACCAUCGAGUUUUUGAACGCAAGUUGCGCCCGAAGCCAUUCGGSCGAGGGCACGUCUGCCUGGGCGUCACGCAUCGC